rnacentral:rRNA from 1 species
GACGUAGGGCGCGAGCGUUGUCCGGAUUUAUUGGGCGUAAAGAGCUCGUAGGCGGCUUGUCGCGUCGUCCGUGAAAACCCACAGCUCAACUGUGGGCUUGCGGUCGAUACGGGCAGGCUAGAGUUCGGUAGGGGAGACUGGAAUUCCUGGUGUAGCGGUGAAAUGCGCAGAUAUCAGGAGGAACACCGGUGGCGAAGGCGGGUCUCUGGGCCGAUACUGACGCUGAGGAGCGAAAGCGUGGGGAGCGAGCAGG